rnacentral:rRNA from 1 species
UGCGUAGGUGGCAGUGCAAGUCAGAUGUGAAAGGCCGGGGCUCAACCCCGGAGCUGCAUUUGAAACUGCAUAGCUAGAGUACAGGAGAGGCAGGCGGAAUUCCUAGUGUAGCGGUGAAAUGCGUAGAUAUUAGGAGGAACACCAGUGGCGAAGGCGGCCUGCUGGACUGUUACUGACACUGAGGCACGAAAAGCGUGGGGAGCAAACA